CUUUUUGCAGAGUUUAAACUAAAGUAUGAAUUUAAACUUCCAGUCCCAGCCAGAGGACAGCAGCCACAAGGCCAAGGACACCCUCCCAUUCCUGCGCCCCAGAAAUGGAGCCCCUUGUUGCCUCCUUUGGCCUUCUACCUACCCCCUGCUUCUAAAGGAUGGACAUCUAAAAAUUUUGAUCACACCUGAUCGAGAGGCUGCCACUUCCAAGCCCCACCAUCCAUCAAGCAACUGAAAAAUAACAACUCCUCAAAAAGUUGAUAGACAGCAGCUUAUGUGACAUUAACAGCGUGUGGAAACUUGCUGAGAUCUACGAAAUAAGUGUGAAAACUACAUGCCUAAUAUGGCUCUCGCAAAAGAAGGCUUAGCCCAGGACUUGGGAAAACAUGCAGGGCUCCCAGUUAAUCCCAGACCACCGGAGAUGCCCAC
rnacentral:lncRNA from 1 species